GGGGGUUUAGCUCAGUGGUAGAGCGCUUGCCUAGCAAACGCAAGGCCCUGGGUUCGGUCCCCAGCUCCG
rfam:Rattus norvegicus chromosome 9, whole genome shotgun sequence.